rnacentral:lncRNA from 1 species
CCAACUCAACAAAAAGUCGCGCCCAAUGCCCUUUUCUGGGGCGCCCGGGCGCUACAAUAUCAUCAGAAAUGCGAGGCAAAAGGCCCUCAGCGCCCUCCAAGGGCGCCCAGGCAUGAAGAAUUGCCAAAAAUAGCGAGACAAAGGGCGCCUAGGCGUGGGCAAUUAAUGAAAACAGCGAAUUAAAGGGCGUUGGGCGCCCUUUAGGGGCGCCUUGGCGUGG